rnacentral:piRNA from 1 species
UCCUGUGACAUGUACUGCUGCUGGCGCU